ACAUGCCUACAACAUAGUGUUAAUGCAUUGGAUCUCAUUAGAACUUUGUAGUUAAACACGCUCAAGCUAGAGUAGCACUAGGAUGGGUGACCACCCAAGAAGUCCUAGUAUUUUACAUACC
rfam:Picea glauca, whole genome shotgun sequence.